rnacentral:rRNA from 1 species
GUACUCCGGGGAUAACAGGCUGAUACCGCCCAAGAGUUCAUAUCGACGGCGGUGUUUGGCACCUCGAUGUCGGCUCAUCACAUCCUGGGGCUGAAGUAGGUCCCAAGGGUAUGGCUGUUCGCCAUUUAAAGUGGUACGCGAGCUGGGUUUAGAACGUCGUGAGACAGUUCGGUCCCUAUCUGCCGUGGGCGCUGGAGAACUGAGGGGGGCUGCUCCUAGUACGAGAGGACCGGAGUGGACGCAUCACUGGUGUUCGGGUUGUCAUGCCAAUGGCACUGCCCGGUAGCUAAAUGCGGAAGAGAUAAGUGCUGAAAGCAUCUAAGCACGAAACUUGCCCCGAGAUGAGUUC